CACACACACACACACCCCGGAGUCCUUCCCACUCCUUCCCCUCACGCGGGCUUACUAUCCACUUCCAGUGGAGACCGUAACGAGCUAGGUUUUAUUCCUUCUUUUUCUUUUACUUGCCACUCUUUGCUUCGGUUAUGCCCUCGUGUACGGAGGCACCAUCACCCCUCCUAUGCCUGGCGCCCCUGAAAAACGCAGCCCGUGGAUUGUCCCUGCGUUAGAGCUAAUGACAAAGUGCUUGUCCUUUCCUGUUAACAGUUUUUUUCUAUUCUUUUGCAGUAUUUUUUUUUCCUCAGAGCUCGACUUCUGUUUUAAAAAAUCGUAUCUGCAUGAAGCAGGAGCUGAGGGUUGAAGAAAAAGAAAAGAGUGUCUGAUGAAUGGACAGAUUAAGGGGACAGAGGCAAAGAAUGACGAGAAAAUGGAGAGCAUGGUCUGCGGGAGAAAGCGAGAAAGACAGAGAAAGAGAGAGAGGUAGGAGAAAGAGUACCGGUACUGGCAAGAAAAACAGGAGGGGGAAGAGCAGAGAAGGGGGACCAGUAGGGGAUAAACUUAGGAAGGAGGGACGGCUGGAUAGGAAUUGGCAAAAUCGCGGGAAAAAAAGAGAAAAAAGAAAACUCCAGAAUGAGAAGAAACUGGACUUCUUGUCAAACUCAGACUUGCAGUCUGUGGUUGCAUUUGCUUUUUCUUUUUUGACAUGAUUUUUCAUCACUUCUCCGGUCACCCUCUCAUUCAUCUGUUGAGCCUCUGAGAGAACUUUUUCAUUGAAGACAUGAUUUUUAUCAGGUAAGGAAAGGAGUUUACUUUACAUUUAUUUAAUUUAACAAGGGUCCAGGAUAAGCAACAGAUCCUGUACUGUGUGUAUAUAUAUAUAUAAAGACUGAGACAAAACAAGUGCUUUACUGACUAGAGUUUUGCUUAAUGGCACUCAGCAGUCAGGAACACUUGGUCAGCCAUUUUAGUCUGUGGCCUGAUCGAAACGUCAAUGGACCAUCAGAAUAAUUGAAUUACUCUUCCCUGAGUCAUUCUGUCGUGAUUAACCUCCCAGAUAUGUGCUAACUGUGGGCCUACGUGAGAGCAGCAAGCAGACAAUCUUUCAUUUUGCUGGCACACCUAUUCCAGUCAGUUUCUUGCAACACUGUUCUCUGUGACUUAUCUUAGUAAGCAACAAGUGGAAGGGUCAUCUGUUGGUCACGUCCCGAUUAUCAGAUGUUGCUGAAAAGUGAGAGUACGGGUAUAAAGAGCAGUCUGUGGUCUAACCUAGAAGCUCGCUUUGGAGAUGCCUCACAUUACAUUUUUGUCUUUGUGCUGAUGUCACCCCGAUGCCCCCGGUCCAGCAGCAGGAGAAUAAGAGCUACAUUCUGCCUCUGCGACACAAUAGAGCCCUUCUUGCCCUGAUAUUUUCACAAUGUGUUUUUGCAAGGCCCCAUGCACACACAGACCGUUGAUUCAGAGCAGGCUGAGCUGUGCGCUUUACCUGAUAUUUCCAUUCUUGUUGAAGCAGUUUGCUUCCACAGUCAGAAUUAGCUCUGUAAAUAUAACCGCAGGUCAUCAAUUCAAAUUUCCAAAUGAAUUCGAAGCUCACAUCCAGUGUGAGGUCAGUGACAGAGAAGCCAUAUAAGCCACUGCAGUACAGUAUGGUGGUGUGGCAUGGGUUAACGUCUGAGGACCGGAGGAAUGUUCGGGUCGACAGGGAGAAUUCCUCAGUCUUGCGCGACUAGGUCACUGCACUGACGAGAGUCUGCCACCUAUUUUAGCAUGCGCAUUGCUCUCUAUCUUUAUCUAAUUCUGCCUGCCUUUCUCUCUCUCUCUCUCUCUCUCUCAUCGUUUUUUCUCUGUCUGGCUCCAAAUCUGUCCUUCUUUCUCCUCUUCCACUCUCUUCCUUUACAUAAUUUCCUCUUUUGUUCUUCCUGCCUGCUCUUUAUUUGUCUCUGUCUCUCUCUUGUGACUCUUUCAGUUAAUCUGUCCUUCACUCACUCCGUCUAUUUUGCUGUUCUACUUUGCCGCAUGUUUUUUUUCCACUCUUCGUUCUGUCUUUUAUUUGUCCCCUUGCACUUUUAUCUUUGUGUUUUUCGUCUUCAAAUAUUAAUGCCUCCAGGUAUUUAUGCUCCAAACGUCAUUAUUCCGUCAUUGUGGUUUAUCCAUCCUCCAACCCUUCAACUUCCUAUCUUUUUUAGUUUUUUUUGUGUCACGUAUUUGUCUCCCUCUCUGUCUUUUUCUGCGGCACAUUGAGUUCAGUGCUGCAGUUGCUUUCAAGGAGACAUAGCGGGAAUACAGGGGAGUGAGACAAAAAAGGAGUAGACGCAUUUAUUCUUUAUAUGCUUGUGUAUAUGACACUGGCAUGCUUGUUAUUAAUGCAGUGCUGUCCAUAUGGUGCCUGGUGGUGCUGGUCAUGUAUGAUUUAUAGGGUGUGUUCCCACAUACAGGCCAGGGGCUUUCAUACUAGCUAUACGUAUUCCUGGGUGAAGGAGUUUGCAGACUCUCACCUCUUCAUUGGCUGACAGCGGGGGUGACAGACAGACCCCCUGGUACAGGAGUGUUUCCGCUGCUGGCAGAUGUGGCGAUUUGACACAGUCUGAGCCUCACACACAUGCUCACUGAAUGGAAGCACGUUUCUCCCUUUUACACCAAUGUGGACUGUGCACAGCCGUAUACCCCAUCCAGAGGGGUAUUGGCAGCCACAUCUGGAGAUUCUCUUGUUUGUCUGUACUCUCUACAUCCAUACACAUAUGAAUUACGUGUGGAAUACCUCUCAAAUGUUUCAUGAUUUAUUGUUUCACUUUACUUUACAAGUUGUUUCUUUUGUAUGCUUUUCCUAUCUGAACUAUUCUGUCAUGCUAGAUCAUUGACUGUUCUGUCAUCCCCAUCUUGGAGAACAUUUAGGUCAAAACUAGAGGAAUUUGAAUUCCAUAAAAGAUGAUAGACAGAAAAAUUAUUCAUCUUUUAAGCAACAAUUCACUGGUUCCAGCCUUUUAAAUGUGACAUUUCUUUAGUCUUCUUAGUCUACUUUGGGCUUUGGGAAAAUGUGAUUUUUCACUAUUUCUAAACAUUUCAUUGGCUAAACUGUAAAUUGAUUAAUUGAAAAACAAAUUGACAAAUUAGAAAAAGUUGCAGCCCUAAUACAUAUGUUUAUACAUAAGAAAAUGUUUAAUGCACUUUACUGUGAUUGACACCGUACCAUAAAUAUUCUGUCAUGCUACAUUUUUAACUCUAAUGUCAUGCUCAUCUUGUUGUCCGUUUAAGGUUAAAACUGAAUUGUUAAGUGAAGACUUUAGUUCCAUAAAAGAUAUUCAACAUUUCAGAAACUAUGACAAAGUAAUAACUUGUAAUGAAAUGCAUGCUACACUAAAAUAAUUUCACUCUCAACUAUGUGUGAGUCUGAACUAUUUUAGGUAAUACAAAUUUCCAAAUUGGAUUUCCAGAGAAUUCUCAGAUACAGCUCUUCAAGUGCUAUUUUAUUCAUCUCUGACACCACGCGUGUUACUGUGCGUCUGUGUUCGCUAUCGAGCACCUGAAGCCCUUGCAGUUUGAGACAGUGAGGGGAGGUCAGACGUGAGUAAUAGCAGUGACUGAUGAUGUCACAGACAGCAUUGCGCCGCUUCAGUUGCCCCCUGUGACCCCGGCUUUAGGAUGGCGGCAGCAGCGCGUAAGCACCCGUGGGUAACACACGCCAAAGCACAUUAGAGGCAGGGAGCUGGAGAGAGGCGGGGAUGGAGCACACAGAACACAGCUCAGGGGGACAUAGAGAGAAAGAGACAGUCAGAGAGACAAAGGGAGACAGAAAGUGAGGAGGGGAGGCUUUCACAUUAAAGAGGAGAGACAGGAAGAAAAGCUGAGAGACAUGGUCAUGUUUGCCUCUCCAUGCUUCUUUUUUUUUUAGCAGACUGUCUGGUUGGUGGUGAUGUUCGACAUCAUGGCCUCAGGUAUCUCUCACUGUCUCUCUGUCUGUCUCUCUGUUGGUUUUACUUCCUUUAUCAAAGAAAAUGAGUCUUUGCAUGAAAAGAAACAAAACCAUGAUAUACCAUAGACAACAAUUUUGAUUAUCAAUCUCUGGUUUAUGUCCCUUAUCAUGGAAAAAUGCAUCACAUCUGCUGGUUCCAGCUUAUCCAAACGUGUGGAGUUUCAGAUUUUCUCUCUCUGAUAUUACAGUUAUUUGAAUAUCUUUAGUUUUGAACAGACAAAACAGGCCAUUUUUGCACCUCCAACCUGCCAAAUACAGGGUAAAUUACAGAUCCUUUGUGUAAGAAAUCUUAUUUUUAACUGUAAUUCUUGAGAUGACUCAGAUUGCAAAGGUUAAAAUUGUAGUGUAAGUUCAACAAGGGUGAAAUGAGUGACAGUGAUUCUCCACAUCUUCAAAUCAUCACGUCUGAUAGAUUGACUCAGAGAGUAACCGUCGCUGGCUGCAACCGGUCCCUUCUUUGCUCCAGUGGGUCCAUCAAGUGCUACAAAAUAUGCAGUUUCUGAUGAUUCAUAUGAAGUGAUGGCAACGUGUAUGUAGCACAGAGAAACAUAUUGAAGGACAAUAUGAUUUGUGAUCUAAAAUCUGGCAAAUAGAAAAAUUGUUGCUUUGAUGCAUAUUAAGUAAAGAAUGCAUAUGUACAUUAUUAGUGCAGCCAAAUGUCCCACCAGAAUAGUAAAAACAGCAACUGUUCACAAUACAAUAAAACCUAGAUUAUAUAUUAUAUAUCAGAUUGUAGUUUGAAAUGAAAGUGCCUGUUAUAUUUGACGUGAUUCUCUUCAAAUAUGUUCAGUGUGCAAAUUAUAAAACUGCCAGUCAACAACUGUGUGAUAGUAUUCAGCAUCCCCACCGCCAUUCAUGCUUCUCUUUCAAGGCCAAAUAGUGAAUUCUGGGUAAUGCAUUGCUAUAUGUAUCUCUUCAAUUCAACAAUAUCACUUAUAGCAUGCAGUACUUUGCCUUUAGAGAUACUGCACUUAAAGUUAACCGAGGCUUUCAUCAUUGAAAUCCAUCUCAAGAGCCGAGGAACCUUGUGCAGGAAGUGGAGAGCGCCCGUUAAGAAAGCACUCAGCAUCCAUGACAUGUGUUUGUUUUCGCCACUAUCACUUCAAAGUCUCAUUCAGUUCCGACUCCCAAAUGGCUCUUGAUUCUUUGAUCUCAUUGCCGAGCAGAUACUCAAAGCUCAGCAAUCCUGUUUGUAAUUUCAAGGCGAUACUCCGACGCAAGAAAAUCUCAAGAAAGAAAUUUCAGCAUAGGUAUGAUAUACGGUAUAUAUAUCACAAAUGAACAAAUUAACUGAAUAUAUUUAAUUGAGAUAAUGAAUGAUAGAUUAAGUCAAUUUAGCAAAAAAUAUAAAUUGGUAUAAAUACACACAAAUACUUAAAGAGGAAUGAUUAAAGUAAAAAAAGAGAUUGACAGCGAGGACAAACGCUCUUGGGGGCGGGGGAAACGCGGCGAGCUCACCUUCAGGUAUUCGUCGUAAGCACGCUUAGACAGUGUUUGUGUAAUUACUCGCACUGCCAGAGGGGGAGACUCUUUUCAAUAAAGGUAGAAGUCCAAGAGGCUAAUAUCGAUACUGCUGUAAUCUAUCGCCUAUGUAUUGCUCAGCUCAAAAUAACAUUCUCAACAAUAGAACUUUGAUACUCGAUUAAAUCUCUGGGGAUUUCUCGAUCACAGUCUAGACCAUUAUAGUUGACCGGUAUAUCAUAUUUCAGCAGAGGACCCGACAUGCGCUAGACAGGAAUACAGCCUCAAUCCAGCGUUUUUGACCAGGAAUCUUUUCCUACAUCCAUUGUUGAGCAAAAACAGCUGUUUGAAGAUGUCAACUUCAGGUCACAUUAUGAUAGGUUAUUUUGUGAUAUUAUAUUGACAAAACAAAAUUGGUUGAUGGAAAAAAAUCAUCAACAGAUUUAUCGUCAAUGGAGAUAACUUUAUGUUGAUGACAUUGAUACACUGAUUAGGAUUGUUUGAUAGUUUUAGUGUUUUCCAAACCUAGCAGUAAAGCCCACUCCCAUCUGAGUGGUCCUUACAGGUUUGGCUGUAAAUGUCAAGCUGCAACAGGGAGUUUAAGUGAAAAGGUCACAAUUAUAUGCUCGGUAGCCUGAGAUUAGGAAUAGAAGGCUCAAAGUUGCCUGUGCAGACAGUGGCAGAUUGUUCUGUUGUGAGAUCUGGGCUUUGAGGUUUCCAUGACUCUCUCACCUCAGUCAUCAACAGAUUAGAUUCUAACAAUCAAAUACUUUCCCAAAGCAUAAUACUAAAAUGCUCUAAUAUUAGAAAAAUGUUGAUUAUUGCCAGCUCCAUGAAGCAUUACAAGUAUGACAAAUAUUUGAAAGCGUGGAUUAAAAAUGGGAAAUAAUAAAUAAGUCAUACAAAGAGGUAAAUUAUUUUGUUCAGGCAUCAUUUUUUAAAGCACCAUUUAAAGGGCUUUUCAUUAAAAAAAUACACCAAAGUGAAACAAAUAUGUAACUUUAUUUAACCAAGAAAGGGUCUAUAGAGAUAAAAAAAAUAAGAAUAAUUGAAGAAAAAGAAGCACCGUCCAGUCUCCCUUAACACCACCAGUGAUGCAGGAAUGCCGGGCUUGUCUCCGGUGCGUCGCUGCUCACAUGUCUCUCUCUGUUUUCUCUCUACCUCGCCUAACCAUCCGUUUUAACCGUCAACGACCUCAAAUCACUGAGGUUUUGCUUGUAGAAAUGAGUGGUCUUUCCCAAGUGUACAGUUAGUCGCUGUGCUGCUGGUAACACAUCACCUCUCCAACCCUCCAUCACCCCUCCCCCAUCUCCUCCUCUGUGGCGCAUCACCCCACUCACUCGCUUUUCAGUCUCUCCUUCUCUCUCCUUCACUCCCUGGUUUAAUAUUGAUCUGAAUUCAUUUGUUUCCUAUUGAUCUGCCACUCCACCCUCUGCCGCAUUGAACAAACACAAGGACACACACAAUGCGCACACAAGCCUCAUACACGCACAUGCAGAUGCAGCACAUGCGCGUCUCGAACAAGUCUCACGUGUGCACACACACAUACACACAAAGAAAAAAGGCUCAAAACGCUAAUUUACCAACCUGUUAUACGAGAACUGAUUUAAAGGUUAAUAUGCCCACAAACACACACACACACACACACUGCAGACAGACACGACCGCAAUUGCACACUCUUCAUCUGUCAGAGGGUGAAAACAGGAAGGUUUAGAGAGGUCCCAGCUCCAGCAUGAGACAAGCUAAUGACAUACAAAGGAACCCGGAUUCCAUAUUGAUCCAACACCUCAGCAGUAAGAUGAAAACGCAGACAGUCUAGGGCGGGCUCCGGCAGACGACACAAUUACAGCUGCAGUUCAUUUCUCAGCUUUUUCUCAAUUGUACUCCGAGUUAUGAGCACAAUAAAUGGCAAUCAUUCAGCCGAUUGUGUAUAUUUUGAAAGCCCUUCUUAGUCUUUAGAAUAAAAUUAGCAAAUGGAAGUCCGUCAAGUUUAAGUCACUAUGUUCAUUGAUGGGCUUUGCAAACACUGCAUCAUAAGGAAAAUGUAAGAAUGAGAUGUACUGUAUAAAAAAGAAAAACAUAAUUAUUAUUCUGAACAUGAAGGCGUAUGUGAGGAUCACUCAAAAUAGACUACACUGCUCAUAUUCAUGGUAAUGAAGGAGCAUGUCACCCAGUGCAACAGUUGGGCUCAUUAAAGUGUUUUUAAUAGUUUUUAGAGAACAAUGUGACACAGAAGAAUACGAUUUUAGGCUUUAUAGCUACAACAGAAAUACUGAUCAUCACUAGGGUCAAUAUAGAGUCUGUUUCGGUUUACUCUUUUCAUGGGAACUUAUUGACGAUAACAAAAGUAAAGAAUAUUGCUUUGUCCUUUAAGGUUCAACGCUUAAUUCAUUCAUCCUUUGUCUUCACUAGGAUGUGACAGUUUGACCAACCUUUCUUGCGGCUCCACCAGCCACUCCAAUUUGCCAUGACACCAGACUGAUUCUCCCGCCCUCUGACCUCCUUUCAGGACAUGCUGUGUUCAGUCAUCUCCAGCAGCGGCUUGAGGUCAAAGGGUCGGGGGGGGGGGGGGGGGCGAGAAACAAGGGGGAGAGACGGUUUCCUCUCGAUAAAAUUAGAUAAGAUGCACCACAGGCAAUUCUCGCUCUCCCUAAGUGCAUGCAGACAGGAACACGGAGGCCCAUAGAUAUACGUAUAUGUACACGUGUGGGAAUUAAUGAGCGCACUCCAACACAAAAGCCUCACAUCGCCGUCUCUGUUGUCUUUCAUUGUGUUGCAGUGUCAUAAUUAUUGCAUUUGUUUCGCUCACUGUUGUUUAAUUUAUGAUGUCGAACUGUAUUUUCCAGCAUUAUUAAUGUAUUAUUCAUCACCGUUGACUUUAACCGUCUCAGCUGUAAAUGUAUUUUUGUACCACCCGCUCAUUCAUGCAUUGUUGAUGGCACAGUAUUCAUUCUCACCAUUAUCUCCCACUUUGUUAAUCCAUUUCAUACUCCGCGCACCAUGUUUGAUGCUUCGCCCUUCAUAAAUGCUCGCUUCUCUAUUCAUUUCUUUGUGCUGCUGAGUGCUUCAUCUCCAAUCAGGGAUUGGUCUAUUAUGGUUUCAUUGUCUCCUAGAAUUCCCUCAUACUUGAGUCCAGGGUGGUUUUUUACCAGCACUACUUGUUUAUGUGGAUAAAAGCCCAGAUAAGGUUGUGUCUGGGUGGCUGACUUUAUUUAUUUACUUAUCCCAACUUCAUGGCUCAAUGUGUUUAUUGAUGUUCCCCUUCCUAUCCUGUGGUAUGCUAAUAAUCUGCAUGAUGCUUUGCUGAUUUCAGGAAUGCCGUGGUCAACCAUAGAAGCUCCCCAGUGAGAGGAGAGCCAUGGGAAAAGCCUCAAACUAGUUCUCGGUUGUGAGGUAAAUGCUUUGGCAACAUCUGUUUCUUCCUUUUUAGACCAACAAAGACUCUUUGAAUCUGACUGAAAUAGAGAUGGUGAGCGUCAGCUCCAAGUAUACAGAGAGACGGACUUCCAUGUCUCUGAGCCUCUCUUUCUGUCUCCUCCUGUCUCUUUAAUCUGUACUCUCAUCAUAAAACACAAGUUUCUUCCUAUUGACAAUGCGUUUUGAUGCAGCAUUGUAAUAUCUCAGCCACUAUACACAGACUAGUUCCUGACUGUUAGCUAUCACACACACUACAACCUGUUGAAAGAAGACCAAAUCGGAGAGCCAUCAUGUAUAUAAUUUAAGAACAUUGUAUAUGGGACUCGCAUAACUGUUUGCAUGAUUAGCAGUCACACACGUAUACACACUUUCCCCUCUUCUACUCAUGCACACACAUCCUGGCCGACACUACCCAGUAGCCAUUAACAACAGUGCCCUAGCAACCAUUGGGCAUCAUGCCAAGCCGCUGAGGUUGCCUGGUACCGUGUUGCUAUGGCAACGUUUUCUGCCUUUUGUAAAUAAGGUACAGGGAGAGUGAAAUGGGGGGAUUUGGGAGGAAUCGCACUGCCGAAUCUCAACCUAUCUUGAGGGAACUAAUGAUUUAUAGUUUGUGAGUCAUGGAUACUUAUCCUGGCCUUGCACUGAGCUGUCAUCUGACUGAGGAGGGGUGUAGUAUCCACAGGGAUCUAUAUAAAUAAAGUUAUUAUUAUUAUUGUCUCAUCUCCAAGUCCUUGUGACACACUGUCAAAUCCAGCAUGUAGUCUUAGUCUUCCUUCCUGGUCUUUAGAUUACUUCUUAUAAAUAUAAUUGGGAAAGUAAUGGUCACACUCUACUGUAGACUCCCUGGAAGUUAAAUCUGAAUUUUGGACAUGUUUUCUGACAAUUUAUAUAAAAAGUGUAUUCAUCUAUUUGUUCUUUUCUCAUCAACGUAGUUUAUCUUGGAUUGAUUUUUAAUAGUUUCUUUUUAGAACUCUAUUCAUUCUCUUCUGUAAAGUCAAGCGAACCUUCAGCGGUCCUUGGCCCAGAGUUUGAGAAUCGCUGUCUGAGGCCUGCAUUCCUGUUGAGCUGGCACUCGCCAGACGAUUCAUAGCAGCGGUUAACAGUUUAUUUGCAGUCACCGGGCAGAUUUCACUCCUCUGUGCCCCUACAUUGUUGGGGUGGCGCCGUAGUCUCUGUGCGUCACUUCUCAAAGACAAUGAGUGGGGGAGAGUCACCUGAAGUCUUUGUUUUGUCGAAACGGCAGAGCCUAAACGUCUUUCUUCAAUUGAAAAAAAACGUCUUGUUGCGAGGCAGAUGUGUGCUUGAUUUCAGUAAUUAUCUGUCAUUAUUAUCUCUCCAGUUAGUCCAUGUCUUUUUGUUCUUGUUUUUCAUGUAAAACACCAUGAGGUCUUUGCCAUUUGGCUUUCCUCUGACAGGCCAUUGUUGUUGAAAAAUUAAUUUGUUUAAUAUAAAUUGACAGAAUGCAGAUGCUCUCUAAUCUUGAAAUUGAUUGGGUCAGAACCGCCAUGCAUCCAUACGUUUUACAUUUAGUUAGUUGAAAACAAGAAAGGGAUUUCAGAUAUCAAGUUUCUACUUCUAUUUCUUUUUCAGAUUAAUUAUCUGUCAUAUUGUUUACAUCCAAUUCGUAAAUUAUACAUUUAAAAAACAAUUCUGUUAAUUUUCCACAAAGAAAUUAACCGUUGUUUUCUUGAAUAAGUUAAUUAUAAUUUAUGUGCCUUAACUCACAGUUCAAAAAAUGAAUGAAAAUCUUAAGCCCUCUUAUCAAAGAAGCAAAGAACCUGAACAUUUGUAGAGAUUUUGUUGUCGACUUAAUGGAAAACUUUUGGCUGCCAGUUUUCAUACAUACAUACAUAUGCAAUGGUUAUUUUCCUCAAAUAAUAGAAAAAAAUAUUAUUUAAGUUUGAUUAUUUUAGCAGUAACAAACGAUAAGUUAUUGCUCAGUAUUGUCUCAACUGUUGUUUUGCAAGAUUAAACCAUGACGCUCAUGUGUGUGAUAAUCCAUAUCCAUAGAGUCAUUGUUAGAACUGAGAGGAACAACUUGAAUUAAAUUUAUGAACUGAACUCCCCUCAAACUUACUUUAAGAGGUUUUACAAGCCUGAUGUAUAAACUGGUUCUGAUUAAAUAAGCCACUUAAACGUUACUUUUACUUUUGGCUGAUUAAAUAAAAAAACAUAUAUAUAGUUCUGCUUAGCAACAGAUGUUUUUUUCAGUAUUGUGUUGCAAUACUAAAGCUUCUAGUGGCCAUCUUGGUAUUUGCCAGUUAGUUCAGCACUGUCAUUAUCUUGUUCCUCACGGGCCAAAUUUUCGUGUCGUCAAAAACUUUGGGCACUAAUACAACGUUAUGAGUGAUUACAACGGCUAAAAAUAACGUGGAUUAUUGUAUUGCAGAGGGGGCAUGACCAGUUUUCUUGCAAUUUUCAGGUUCAUCAAUAUUUGGUGAUUUAGGCAUACUUUGGUAUAUACUUUGGCUCAACCUGAUUCAUUUGUUUUCACUCUCUCAAUAGGCCAAACUGUAAUCCCCACAAAGCUUCAUCUGACCCGACACCAGCCCGGGUCUAGGCUUAUGCACAACCCUGGCCUCCAGUGCAGGGGCUUCCCACCAGACUCACAUUGGCACACAAACACACCCAGGCAGAUUGGCAAAGAGCUGGUAUUGGCACAACCAUGCCGCAUUCAUGCGUGAUCCGACUUCGAAUGAGACGGUGAGAGAGGUUUGAAAAGGGGAGGAGCAGAAUCAAGGGCAACAAGGAGGGAGACUUAGAUGGUAUGAACAGGGAGAAUGUCUAAGACAAAAAAAGAAAAUACUUGUAAAGGAUUUUGAGGCCUGAAAUGUUCAGUGAUGGAGGACAAAUAAGAGGCACUAAGAGAGGCGGGAGGACGGCCAAAGAAAGAAAAUGAAGGGUGGGCUUUUAGCAUGGCAGAGGGCAGUGGAGAGAGGCGAGGUAAAUGGGUUUGUGUUUGGAAGCUGGCCAAUAAAAAAAAAAAAAAAUCUAUGUCUCUAUUAAGCAUAUGUUUCUGCCGUAUCUUUUGAAGUUCACACUUAGUUGGCAAAUUUUUUAUUUAAUAAUGGUUAAAUGUUGAAUCUUUAGCUCCGUUAUAAGUUAAGACUGCUUACAAAUGGCUUUUAUGUCCAUAAUGUAAUUGAACAAGACCCAGCGCAGCCAUUUAUCAUCUUGCACACGUUUACCUGUGCUAUGCAGUACAUAUUAAAAUGCAGUUAUCGUCCUGGCAGUUAAUAGAGUGAGUUCCCUUUCGAGGAGUCGGUGUUCUACCACUUUUGUGUUUUGAGUCCAGCUUUAUCGGUGAGACUCCAGUCGUACAAGACUUCAAGGUUGUAUUUUUGGUGCAUUGACCGAGUUGAAUAGGGGGCCAAGCAACUCAGCUGCACAGCAGCUAUCAAGUAAUCAAUGAGUCAUUGAGGCACACAGGAGGAGUGUCAAAACACAGCCAUUGACUGCUAACAACAGCCAAUUUGCAGUUUUUGCAGGAGAUCACCUCGGCGAGAUGUCGAAUGUGUGGGUGCGGCUCAUUAUUUAUUGGGUAUGAGAGAAAUUGACUGGAUUGUGCUGUUACUCCAAAUUGUCAGCCAAUUACUCACCCAUUAGAUCCUCUUUGUUGUAUUGGAAACUGCUCUCAAAUGCACCAAUGUAUGCAUUACCCAGAAUGUACCUCAUUAAACAGUGCAAAUCAGCUUAUAAUAUUUUAAUGUGACGAGCUAUCUAUCUGACACCAUUCCUGAGAUUCUGAUGAGACCAAAAGUAGAUAAACACACCGGCAAACAUUAACAGCACACAAUCUGGAUAAAAUACUACAGUUAUCUUUAUUUACAGAAAUUGAGUCAGACUCAUUCAUUCAUGCACUCACUCUUGUUCGAGAUUGUAUGUAAACAUAACUUAAGACAGGCAAACGUGUUCAUAGUUGUUCAAAAGAACGACGCUUGAUGGUGGGGCAUCUGGGGAUGAGGUGUGAUAAUUGUAGAAAUGGGGAUAAGGGAGCACACUUCUGGUCGGUGAAUAAAAUAACUUCAGAGAGUUCAGACCCUUCCUACGUUCACAACUCUGCACACCUGGCCACGUGAUUGCUGGAUUGUUUCAGAAAAUUACAACAAUUUAUGUGCAAAUCCCCCCCCCCCCCCCCCCCCGAGUCUUUUGGAGAAGGUGUUUCAGACAAUCCAACAAUCACUUCAUUUGAAGCAUAGACAAGGGAAGACCAAUUUAUUUUUAUAGCACCUUCCAACAACAAGGCAAUUCAAAGUGCCAUUGAGACAAGAAAAUAUAGAAACACAAGUCAAUAUAUAAAUGACAGCAUACAUACAAGAUAAAAAAAUAAAACACUACAUUAUGACAUCAUGAAUAUAGCUUACAUUGUAGUUACAGUGCAGUGAUAUAAAUUAAUAAUCCCAAGGCAGUAGAAAACAGAAAAUGUAUAAGUUAGUAAUCUUCAAACUUCACAUGAAUGUUUUUCUCAGAUACUUUAGCACCAUCAAAAGGAAUGGACUACGUUUAAAACAACAUAUGAUAUCAUAUAUUACAGAGCUGAAACUUUUAGUUAAUUAAUCAAUUUUAAUCAUUUUUUCAAGCAACAAUGCCUUACUGUUCCAAUCCUCCAAUGUGAUUGUUUGCUACUUUUUUGUUUGUUUUAAACGAUGGCAAACUGUGUUUGGGUUUUGGAGAGUUGGUCAGACAGAACAAGCAGUUUGAGGAUGUCACCUUGAGCUGUUGUUUUCACUAUCACGUGACAUUUUAUAGGCAAAACUUUCCAUUGAAAAAACAAGCUUUAAUGAUAAUGACAAGGAAACGUCAGUAGCGGCUUUAAUGUAUCAUUAAAUCUUAAGAAUAUUUGUGGUCAAAUGUCUUGAGUUAAUAUACUACCAUAGACAAGUGUUGCUCUUUCAGCCCGCUGAAAGUGUGAUAUACAAUAUCAGCCUUCUUCAGAAACCAUGACACGAUAGGAAUCUAAGUUCAGUAAAAUGAAAACAGAAGAGGAGUAUUCGACUUUAACCUCAGAAUGACAAUGAAGUUUGCUCAGUAGUGCUGAAUCGAGUCUUUGAGGAUAAGGAAGAUUCCACCGGCUCCAGUUGCAGAAGUAGGUCAGGCAGACGCCUACAGUAAGCAACUGCAGGUUAAGUGCUUGCCUUUGUAUUCAGCGGCAGUAAUGGUCUGCCUUGGCCUGCGGUGGGGGGUGGGGGUGGUCUAUGUACUGAGUAUACCCACAAGAGGGAGACAAGUCCACAAAAUGUUUUCUCGUGCAUUCAGUUAGCCAGUCUCAGCUAUUAUUUCUUUAAAUUCCAACAGUAUCACAGUAUUAAUCUUGAAUCUUGUAGCCACAGACCAAGAUGUUUCCGUAUCUUUUUUUAUAAUGUGGUAAUCUGGAAAAUAGCUUCAUCAUAAAUAUAUGAGAUUAUGAAUGAAAUGAGAUGUAGGGAAGCGACAGAUAUACAUAGACAGACAGAAGUAAAAGACACAGAAGACACUGCAUGGAAGAAGAAGAAGAAGAAACUCCAACUCUGAACCUGCUCCGGUGCUCUGCAGUGUGAGGUAGUUGGUUGUAUGGUUUCGCAUCAUAAACAGCCUGGAGAUAACGGUACAACCUUCUAGCUUUCCCUGCGGUGUCGCCCAGACUUCAGACGAAGGACACCGCUCUUUAUGUCUCUUGAAGUGGUAAGUUCAAAGACGGACCCGAACAAGGAACAACAUUUACGUUUUUUAAGGUUACAGUUAACCCAUUUGAAUCAUUUUAACUAUUUGACCAGUACAAUUUAUAUUGAACAUGGCAAAGUAAUAUAGCAAAUCAAAGAGUGUUUAGGGCUGUAGUUAAAUUAUUCAAUGAGGGUCCUAAUUAUAUUUAGGUAUAAUACAGUGUGUUCCCUCUAUGUUCUCUCACCAUGUCUUUCUUUUACCUCUUUUUUCAACAUGGUCUGUUUUCCUUAAAGAUCUGAUAGAUGUCUUUUGCAGUGCUGGACAAAAGAGCUGCACUAACAGUCACUACCAUAGAGACCACAUCCAUUAUGGAAUCUAAAACAAUUUAACAUUUCUCCUUCAACAAUUUUCCAGCCCAUAAUUAUAAUAAAAAAACCAGCAACAAAACAGUUUCUUCACUGACUUUAAAUCUAAUACAUAUGAAAUAGUAAUCAGGUUUUUCUGUUGAGGUCCAGCUAAUCCAGACAUCAAUAUACCCACCUUGCUCUGCAGGGCUCUUUGAUAUGUUAUUUGCUGCAGUCCAACAGGGUAUAGAGCCAACUAUCGAUAGCGCUUUGCUUCUUUGCAUUCUUAGCAGCCCGUGCAAAAAAAAACACCCGACACCUCUUAAGGCGUUAUGCUGGAAUAUGAUCGAGAACGUUAAAACCAGGAAAACAAACCUAUAAAGAACUCCUAUUUUAUUUAUUUAAUUGGGGGUCAGGGGCAUUUUUGCUGUCUGUAAAGUAAAACAGCAGGUUGCACUGUGUUUUCAACAGUUUGAAAAUAUGAAAUUUAAAUUGCAAUAUGUUAUAACCUUGGCCUUUUUAUGGAAAUCGUAAUGGUUUAAUUACAUAUUGUACAAAUAUGAAGCAUUUUAUGGCCAAAAGGUUUCUAGUUCUUGUUUAUUU